UACGGGAGGCAGCAGUGGGGAAUAUUGCACAAUGGGCGAAAGCCUGAUGCAGCUAUGCCGCGUGUAUGAAGAAGGCCUUAGGGUUGUAAAGUACUUUCAUCGGGGAGGAAAAAACAAAACUAAUAAUUUUAUUUCUUGACGUUACCCGAAAAAGAAGCACCGGCUAACUCCGUGCCAGCAGCCGCGGUAAUACGGAGGGUGCUAGCGUUAAUCAGAAUUACUGGGCGUAAAGAGCACGUAGGUGGUUUUUUUAAAGUCAGAUGUGAAAUCCCUGGGCUUAACCUAGGAACUGCAUUUUGAAACUGAAAUACUAGAGUAUCGUAGAGGGAGGUAGAAUUCUAGGUGUAGCGGUGAAAUGCGUAGAUAUCUGGAGGAAUACCUGUGGCGAAAGCGGCCUCCUAAACGAAUACUGACACUGAGGGUGCGAAAGCGUGGGGAGCAAACAGGGAUU
rnacentral:rRNA from 1 species